CCCUUUUCUCUAUAACACAUCCUCCAGGAAGAGUUGGGAACAGGGAGCUAAGGAGAAAGGUGUCCCUUUCCCGAGGCCCCGGUGAAGGCCACUUGCAGCUCUCCCUCUGACUGCUUGCAGAGAUAACAUCAGUUUGUGCAGAGCAGGGAGGGGAAGGAGUCAGGUUUCCCCAGAGGCUGUUUCCCAGGUGGAUCAUCCUGGGGAAGCCAACUCCAUAACACAGGCAGAUGUGCUGCUUUGAACUGGGUGAGUGCUCCCUCCUGGUGAGGAAUAUGCUGGAGCUGGGGUUGGGCAGCGAGUCAGGAUGGGAGGAAGCAAGGAGGAGUGGUUUACAGAAAGUAUUUCUGUGUAAGGGAUACCACAGUUGGAAGUUCCCUCUGGAUACCCAUGGGACUUGAACUCACGCUGCAUCAGGGCUUCCUGAGCUCCUCAGGGACAUCAGGUCACCAACUCCUUGUUUAGGAUGGACUCUCCCUGUGGGGACAGGGAAGGAACUGGAGCUGAAGUAGAUGUGAGAGGUGAAGGUGGCAGACUGUUGGGGCUCUGGAGAAUCUUCCAGACAUUCCUGCUGCCUCUCCCAGCAGACUAUGCCAAUGAAUGAAUCAGAAAGCUUGAAGAGGGAAGCAAAAGAUGAAAGAAAUCCUGGGACCACGCAGCUUCAGAGGGCUGGAUGCCACAGUCCCCAGGCUCGGGAAUGAACGCCUUAGCUGGAGCUUGGGGGCUUGGUGUCCCUGGACUACCCACACCGUAGCUCCAGGCAGGUUGCUAUGCAUGCUCACGUCAUCAUCCAUAUUCAGUUUCAUCAAUUACACUCAGUAAUAUCCUUGACAACUAUUUUUUUCCUCAAUUCAGGAUUUAAUCCAGGAUCACACAUUGCAUUUGGUUGUUAUUGUCUCUUCAGUUUCUUUUAAAUUGGGCAAAUCCUUAACCUUCUUUGUGUUUUAUGACCUUGACUUUUUUUGUGUGUGGCAAAAAAGUUCAAAUUAUACCUUGACAUUUUAAAAUAGUACAGGUCAAUUAUUAAGUAACAUUUCUUGUGAUUAAAUUCAGGUUAUGGGUUUUGGGCAGGACACUGGGGAGAUGCUGUGACCUUCUCAGAACACUGUAUCAAAGAUAUACAUGAGGUUGGCCUAUUCCAACACUGGGGACGUUAACUUUUUUUUUUUUUUUUUUAGAUGGAGUUUCACUCUUGUUGCCCAGGCUGGGGUGCAAUGGCGCAGUCUUGGCUCACUACAACCUCCAUCACCCGGGUUCAAGCGUUUCUCCUUCCGCAGCCUCCCAAGUAGCUGGGAUUACAGGCGCCUGCCACCAAGCCUGGCUAAUUUUUUGUAUUUUUAGUAGAGACGGGGUUUCGCCAUGUUGGCCAGGCUGGUCUCGAACUCCUGACCUCAGGUGAUCCACCAGCCUUGGCCUCCCAAAGUGUUGGGAUUACAGACGUCAGCCACUGCCCCCAGCCAGCGGACGUUAACUUUUGAUCACUGGUUAAGGUAGUAGCCUUCAGGUUUCAUCACUGUAAAGUUACUAUGUUUCCUCUUUGCAAUUAAUAAGUAAUUUAUGGGGAGAUGCCUUAAGACUUUGUAAAUAUCCUGUUUCUCAUCAAACUUUUAACCACCAGUUUAAAUAUCCACUGAUGAUUUUGUAACAUCGUUAUUCCUUGUUAAUUUACUAGUUAACAUUCUACUGUAAGAAGAGCUUUUCCUUGACCUUCUCAUGUAUGCAUAAAUGGAUGGAUGGAUAUCAGUAUGAACUUGUAGACUGUUAUUUUAUUAGUGGGUUAUAAUCCAUUAUUAUUAGCAUUUAUUUAUUGCUCAAACUGUCACAGAUUUGGCUGGUGGGUGUGGUGUGGGUUUUCGUUUUGUU
rnacentral:lncRNA from 1 species